GUGAUGUUCACAGCUGCAGCACUGAAGGCAGGACCUGUAUAUUUCUUUGACCAGCUGAAACCUAGAAUGAAAGAGAUGGUCAAGAAGAUACCAGAAGAAGAGUCCUCAUAUUUCACUACAAGUCAUCCCCCUGGCUUUACUCCCAGCCCAGCUGUAGACAGGAGUGCUGUCUGUACAGGCAAGCAUGCAGAAAGUCGUGAAGAUUUUUUCUUAAAUGAUACAACAAGCAGUU